CGGGGAAUUUUGGACAAUGGGGGAAACCCUGAUCCAGCCAUCCCGCGUGUGCGAUGAAGGCCUUCGGGUUGUAAAGCACUUUUGGCAGGAAAGAAACGUCGCGGGUUAAUACCCCGCGAAACUGACGGUACCUGCAGAAUAAGCACCGGCUAACUACGUGCCAGCAGCCGCGGUAAUACGUAGGGUGCAAGCGUUAAUCGGAAUUACUGGGCGUAAAGCGUGCGCAGGCGGUUCGGAAAGAAAGAUGUGAAAUCCCAGAGCUUAACUUUGGAACUGCAUUUUUAACUACCGGGCUAGAGUGUGUCAGAGGGAGGUGGAAUUCCGCGUGUAGCAGUGAAAUGCGUAGAUAUGCGGAGGAACACCGAUGGCGAAGGCAGCCUCCUGGGAUAACACUGACGCUCAUGCACGAAAGCGUGGGGAGCAAACAGGAUUAGAUACCCUGGUAGUCCACGCCCUAAACGAUGUCAACUAGCUGUUGGGGCCUUCGGGCCUUGGUAGCGCAGCUAACGCGUGAAGUUGACCGCCUGGGGAGUACGGUCGCAAGAUUAAAACUU
rnacentral:rRNA from 1 species